CUUUUAUUCAUGUUUAUUUAAAGUGAGAUUUCACCGUAUGCAAACAAGAGAGUUACAAUACAAGGUAUAUACUAUACCAGCAGAUCCUCUCUCUAUUCUCUUCUUCUUCUUCUUCUUCUUCCUCCUCCUCUCUUGUAAUCUUCUUUUCUUAUUCAUUGAAAUGCUUCACUGUUCUCUUCACCGCUCUCUUUUUUCUUCUCUUCCUUUGCAAAAUGAGGCCACCCUUAAAUGUUAAUAACAUUGGCAAAUAACGUAAAAGCCAACAUUAAAAAUUUAUAGUCAAAACCCAAGUUAAGGUCAAAAAUUAAAAUCCAGCUAUGAAAGUGUAGCAAGAUUCAACUUGGAUUUUUCAAAAUUAAACUUAACACUAGAAAUCUGAUUACCUGCGUUAGUGAGUUUAAAA
rnacentral:lncRNA from 1 species